AACUUUUAGCAACGGAUCACUUGGCUUCUGUAACGAUGAAGAACGCAGUGAAAUGCGAUAACUAAUGUGAAUUGCAUUAUCUCGUGAAUCAUCGAGUCUUUGAACGCAUCUUGCACUUUUCAGGUCUCCUGGAAAGUAUACUUGUUUGAGUAUCAUCAUCACAUCAUCACAUCCUUCCACCCGGAAAGGGAACUGAGAUGCUAAACCCUAGAGUCUACAUCUUUAAAGCGACACGUGCUAGCGCUGUGCUCGACACAGCCCAGCCAACCAAACGUGAGAUACACAUCGCACAGAGUAGUUGGCUGGCCGGCAAAAGCUAGUGCCACGCACAGAGACCAGACCCUGGUUGGUCUCACCACCCGCAACGUGAUCUCAAAUCAAGUAAGACUACCCGCUGAACUUAAGCAUAUCAAUAAGCGGAGGCU
rnacentral:misc_RNA from 1 species